CCUACGGGAGGCAGCAGUGGGGAAUCUUGCGCAAUGGGCGAAAGCCUGACGCAGCGACGCCGCGUGGGGGACGAAGGCCUUCGGGUUGUAAACCCCUGUCAGGCGGAACGAAUCCCCUGAGGACGAAUAAUCCUUGGGGUUGACGGUACCGCCAGAGGAAGCCCCGGCUAACUACGUGCCAGCAGCCGCGGUAAU
rnacentral:rRNA from 1 species